UAAGUACAGGUUGGUCCAAACAUUCGAGCAGAUUGAGGCAUCCUGAGCUGAUUUUUUAAGGUCCCAUGCGCCCAAGGCCUCUCACUGCUCUUACAUCGGCCAGCAAAUUUCAAAUGGAGCAUCCCAAUGGAGCAUCCCUUUUUCAAAGGUGGUGAGGAGGCCCUCUUAUGUUUACUUUGGCUUGGCAACAUAAUCAGGAAAACAAGCAAAUUGCAACUAAGGUAUUCAGACGGGUCGUGGACGGUGAAGCUCAGGAGCCAUGGACAUUUUUUUCGCUGCUUGACACCCAAUUGCUAGAGAAGCUCGUUUGCAUCUAGGAGAUGUUUGUGUGUUUGAGCUCAUUGAUAGGGGGGAUGUGUGUUUAGAGUCUACAUUUCCACUAGUGCUCCUCAAGACCUAUCAACUCCAUUAUCCAGCUGGUCGGCCGCAUUUGUGAAAGAAGCUUGUCUGGAUGAAGGGGAUGUCUGCAUGUUUGAGCUCAUUGAUAGGGACGAUUUUAUGGUCAAUCUCCAUCUCCAAUUAUGCUAGUCAGAACAGAUAGUCUAAAUGUCCAGUGAGCCCUCUUGAGCAGCCUUUUCAUGGUUUCAAUUGUCUGAGGCCUCUCACUGCCCUUUAGAAAGCUGGAGAAUUCAAGUUAGAGUAUCCCUUUUUCCAGAUGGUGACAUGGCCAUCUUUUCUUAAGAAAGAAAUAAUGGCUUGGGAAGAAGAGGCGACACGAAAUGUCCAGCUUAAGCAAUAGCUAUUGCAACAGGCCUAAGCUUGGCAUGACUGGGCUCACUGCAACAACACGGCAACACUAAUCGGAUAUUGCUCCUGGCAACAAAUGGUUUACAAGAGCUACUAUUGCAAGCAGGUUCAAACUUGCGAUCAGAAAUGAAGCGAAGGCAAAUGAAGAUCACUUUUUGUGUCUAUGUAUCCAUCUAGGAUGCUAGGCGUAGCUUUUCAAUGUUUGUUCAAUGCAUAUCGCGAUGCGAGAUUGGUGACUUGGAAAUCCACCAGAUUCGUGCAUGUCUCUAUAUUGAUUACACGUACUUAGUGUAGAGUCGAAGAGCACAGGAUUGUGAUAUUUUGAUUUCAAAUUGCAAGUUGUGACUAAAGACCAUCUCAUCAAGCCUUUUAGACUGCUAACACGGAUCUCUGGAAACUUCAAAUACUAUCAUAAAUAUACAUCUUGUUUGCCUUUUCA